GGGGGCGUUCCGGUUUCGACGGGAUGUUCAAUGUGCUGGUUGCACGUGGAGGUUGAUCGGCUGGCCUCCUAAAAAAGCCGCUCAAAACAAACAAAUGCAGACUCUAACGAGCUCGCACUGGCCGCUUAAUUGACGACCACGUCAGAACCCCGACGCCUUCUGGGGGGGAUGGCGACACUUAGAAGGCUGGGAGGGAAACCGGGGCACCGGGUUUCCUUCCGAGACUCAACAGGUUCCUAGGGUUGGCAACGCCGCAAGCGGGCCCAGCGGACCCGAAACUCCAGACCGUUUGCUAAACGUGUAGAGACCAUCACUGACGGCAUCUCGGACAGGGGUUCGACUCCCCUCGCCUCCACUU
rnacentral:tmRNA from 1 species